rnacentral:rRNA from 1 species
AGAGUUUGAUCAUGGCUCAGGAUGAACGCUAGCUACAGGCUUAACACAUGCAAGUCGAGGGGAAACGACAUCGAAAGCUUGCUUUUGAUGGGCGUCGACCGGCGCACGGGUGAGUAACGCGUAUCCAACCUGCCCACCACUUGGGGAUAACCUUGCGAAAGUAAGACUAAUACCCAAUGAUAUCUCUAGAAGACAUCUGAAAGAGAUUAAAGAUUUAUCGGUGAUGGAUGGGGAUGCGUCUGAUUAGCUUGUUGGCGGGGUAACGCCACAAGGCGACGAUCAGUAGGGGUUCUGAGAGGAAGGUCCCCANAUUGGAACUGAGACACGGUCCAAACUCGAUACGGGAGGCA